rnacentral:rRNA from 1 species
CCUACGGGUCGCACCAGUGGGGAAUAUUGCACAAUGGGCGCAAGCCUGAUGCAGCCAUGCCGCGUGUGUGAAGAAGGCCUUCGGGUUGUAAAGCACUCUCAGCGGGGAGGAAGGCGAUAAGGUUAAUAACCUUGUCGAUUGACGUUACCCGCAGAAGAAGCACCGGCUAACUCCGUGCCAGCAGCCGCGGUAAUACGGAGGGUGCAAGCGUUAAUCGGAAUUACUGGGCGUAAAGCGCACGCAGGCGGUCUGUCAAGUCGGAUGUGAAAUCCCCGGGCUCAACCUGGGAACCGCAUUCGAAACUGGCAGGCUAGAGCCUUGUAGAGGGGGGUAGAAUUCCAGGUGUAGCGGUGAAAUGCGUAGAGAUCUGGAGGAAUACCGGUGGCGAAGGCGGCCCCCUGGACAAAGACUGACGCUCAGGUGCGAAAGCGUGGGGAGCAGACAGGAUUAGAUACCCGGGUAGUC